UACAGAGGUCCCAAGCGUUGUUCGGAUUCACUGGGCGUAAAGAGCGUGUAGGCGGCUCGGUAAGUCCGCUGUGAAAGUCCAGGGCUCAACCCUGGAAUGCCGGUGGAAACUGUCGAGCUAGAAUCCGGAAGAGGCGAGUGGAAUUCCUGGUGUAGCGGUGAAAUGCGCAGAUAUCAGGAGGAACACCAAUGGCGAAGGCAGCUCGCUGGGACGGUAUUGACGCUGAGACGCGAAAGCGUGGGGAGCAAACAGG
rnacentral:rRNA from 1 species